UAUCCGCCAGAGAACUACAAGUGAAAAACUUGAAACUCAAAGGACUUGACGGUGUCCCAUAUCGGCCUAGAGGAGCCUGUCCUAUAAUCGAUACCCCCCGUUCCACCCAACCUUAGCUAGCACAUAACAGCCUAUAUACCGCCGUCGAUCAGCCUACCCUAUGAAGGUUUAACAGUAGACACAAAAGCCUUAACCACUAAUACGUCAGGUCAAGGUGUAGCAAAUGCUAAGGAAGAGAUUGGCUACAUUUUUUAUUUUAAAAAAUACGAAAAGCACCAUGAAACCGUGCUUGAAGGUGAAUUUAGUAGUAAAAUAAAUAAGAGAGUUUAUUUUAACAACGCUCUGGGACGCGUACACACCGCCC
rnacentral:rRNA from 1 species